rnacentral:rRNA from 1 species
UUGUGCCUACGGGGCGCAGCAGUGGGGAAUAUUGCACAAUGGGGGAAACCCUGAUGCAGCGACGCCACGUGAGUGAAGAAGUAAUUCGUUAUGUAAAGCUCUAUCAGCAGGGAAGAAAAUGACGGUACCUGAGUAAGAAGCCCCGGCUAACUACGUGCCAGCAGCCGCGGCAAUACGUAGGGGGCAAGCGUUAUCCGGAUUUACUGGGUGUAAAGGGAGCGUAGACGGCAGCGCAAGUCUGGAGUGAAAGGCGGGGGCUCGACCCCCGGACUGCUCUGGAAACUGUACGGCUGGAGUGCAGGAGG